CGGACGGGUGAGUAAUGCUUGGGAAUCUGGCUUAUGGAGGGGGAUAACUACGGGAAACUGUAGCUAAUACCGCGUAAUAUCGAAAGAUUAAAGCGUGGGACCUUCGGGCCACAUGCCAUAGGAUGAGCCCAAGUGGGAUUAGGUAGUUGGUGAGGUAAAGGCUCACCAAGCCGACGAUCUCUAGCUGGUCUGAGAGGAUGACCAGCCACACUGGGACUGAGACACGGCCCAG
rnacentral:rRNA from 1 species